AGCAAUUCACGGUUCAGGAAUGUUAGUGUAAAGGGAGUUAGGUUCAGCCCAUUACCAAGAACAAAUCACAAAGUCUACAUAAAUUGCAAACUAACAGUUGUAAUAUUAUGGAAUGGGUGAAAGAGGUUGGAACCGGCUAAGAUGCUGUAUCCUCACAUUAUUUGCUCUGCUAAGUGUACUGAGCAUCUCAUCUACUUGAUGGGUUGGUUGGUGCUUUUCAGCUCAUCUGCUCUGUCCUCCCAUUGGCCAAGUUCUAUCAAGUAUCCUGAUCCAGGCCAGCACAGCCAAGAUAUUGGAUGAAGAAAAAACUAUCCACCGGGAGUCAUGCUGCUCUGUUCUGAUUGGAUGAUGAUGUCCCAGAGUUCGGAAAAUGGCAAAGUCUCUGCCCAUGAAGUCUGCUGCUGUGCCAGAGUACAAUUCUCCAUCUGCGGGAGGAUUGAAUUGUAAGAAACAUUUCUCAAUUUUCCAGUCAUGCUUCUCCAGCUUUCAGUAUACCCACUCCAGUGACUGCAAUUUCAACUGAUUUGCUUUGAUUUCCAGAAGGAACCAUCUAAAGACCACCUUUGGGACUGAAAAUAGGGGAAGAGGAAUUAGUUUUCCCAUGUACUGAACAGAAGCCACAUGGAACUGUAUGACUCUCCCCAACGUCUUCCCAAGUUCAUUAGAUGCUAUUAUGUUAAAAGCUGAAAUGUAUACUUUUUUUUUUUUUUGGUUGUUGUUGUUGUUGAAUUGUUUCUAUUUAGCCCUUAAAAAAAAUAAAUACAAAUCUGUAUUCUUAAAUAUAUAUAUAUAUCUUUUUGGAGAGUACAAAAACUAUAAAUAAAAAAAACUAUAAAACUAUAUAUAACUAAAAUUAAGAUUUGUAGAAGUACACAACAGUGGCUUGAAGAAAUUCCUGUUAAAAUUAAAAGUCAAAACAUCCCAGAAACUAAAAUAAAUUAAAAAAUCCUGAAUCUCAAAUGAAUUUAGUAGCUAAAUUCUAAUAAAUUGGACCAUACUCUCUUCCUUUGUAAGAAGCUACUGUAUUUCAGAUCACAUUAAUCUAUAUUUGAAAGUAUAAAGACAUCUAAACCAGUGCCAAUAUAUAUAUAUAUUAAAAAUAAGUGAAACAUGAAACAUUUUUUUUAUUUUUUUUUUCCAACUAUCCCCAUACAAUUGCUUUAGACUAAUAAAUUCAGUGAUAAUUUUCUCCUGUGAUUACUUCCUGUGAACACCAUGCUCCCUCUCAUUUUCCUCCUACCCUGGAAUAGUGCCCAGGGACUGCUUAGUCUCUACAUUCUCAUGCAUUAGCCUACUCAUUGGGGAUUGUUUAGUUAGCAGCAUAUAGAUGGGGAUAGCUGUAUAAUGUCUUACAUUACUGGAAACUAGUUAUAUCAUGUUCCCAGCUGGUAUUUACUUAAGAGUAGAGUAACAAUAACUACUUUUAUUGAACAACUCUCAAAAAAUAAUGAAAAAAUAUUUGCAGGAUGAAACGAAGAACACACAUUAGAAAAAUAUUGGAACAAUUUAAUAAUGGUGAACUUUUGCAGUUGUUUUUCCAAAUAUUAUUGAUUUUAUUAGGAGAGAAGGAACUCUGAAGAUCCUUUUUAUAGAAGUUUCAGCUGAAACAGAAAAUAAGAAUUCUGAGUAUUAAUGGCUAUUAAAGAUCUUAAAUUACUUUUUGUAAAUUAACCUUGGUAUUUUGACCAAAUUCCAGCUUGUGUAAUUACAUUUUACAUACCUAAGAUUUACCCUCUAGUUAAAAAGUCGAGAAUAUACAACUUUCCCCCACUUUGUAAAAUCUUUCUUUAAUGUUUUUGAUGAAGAAUGUAAGUUAUUUUUUCCUUCUUGCAUUUAACCAUACAAAUUACUUUUACUUCUCAGCUUUCUUUUUCCUUAUAGCUACAUUGUGUUACUAAUUACAAUGUUGAAUUUUAAUGAGUGCUGGGUAAGUUUUUUUACAGUUGCCCUCUUGAACCUAAAAUGAUCCUUAUUCGCUUGUGAAUAGGGACUGGCAAAAAAGGGGCCAGGAGCAGCUGAGUAUCAUUCAGCUUAGAAGGGAAAAGGCAGUCCAUUCCUGUUCUUUGUAUAGGGGAUUUGUGGUCAAGAAGGUCUUCUGGCCUUCAUAGUCCCAUUCAUUACUUCAUGCCAGUGCUACCUGCUUCAGAAAGCAGUUGGAUCGUACCUCUCCAUACCUUGGACAGGUCAGUACCAGUUUCUCACCUCCCAGGGUGGUAUGAAGUUUCUCACCUCCAACCUCAGGACAGGAAAUUAUUUUACCUUUGGUCAUCAUUUUGCCACAAAUUUUGUUUUUUGGCAAAGAUAAGAGUAAGCCAUUCUGAACCAGUGGUGAAUCUGCUGUACACUUAAAUAUCAGGGGAAUGUCUUCAGUAAAAGAUUGAAAUAAAUGCAGCAUUACAAUCAUUAACACAAUAUAAUUGUGAAGCAGCUAUGAAUAGUCAGAGGAAAAAGGGUGUUCAUAUUCAGGAUGCAGGAAUGUUAAUUUUAGCUUCACCCUGAGUUUUGUGUAUCACUAAAGCAGAAAUUAGUCACUGGCAUUGAAUUUUGAAACUGUGCCAUUUUACACAGUGUUAACACACCCAUGAUUCUAUUUGAAGUCUAAUUCAGAUCAAAAUAUGAUGCUCAGUCUACUAUUUAUUAGGAAGAAGAAUACAUGGAGUGAAAAUUAUAGUGAUAGAGAGUAGGGUCAAGAAAGCAAAGAUGUUUUAAAGACAUGAAAUCUAAGCCAAGGGAAAUAAGAUAAUCAUAUUUGUGCAGGACUGAGUUUAAAAAAAAAAAAAAAGUAAAAGAAUGUGAAAAGCUAGACGCUGUUGACUUUGUGCAGUUGCAUACCGGGUAUACCAUGUAAUACUGGCUUGUCAUCAUUCUCUUUCUUUAUUGUAUAUUAAAGUAAAUAGUAAAGCCAUUCCCUUGAGAGCAUCUCUGCCACAAAUUCAUGUUGCUCCAGGCACUAAUUUAUACAAUGGCCUUUUACACACAAUUUUUUUCCCUUCUGUUUGUAUGGGGUACAAGUUGGAGCAAGAUGUGGACAUCUUUUUUGUUUUCCCCUUUUAAAAAGUGCAUGUCCCCAGGGUAGCUCAUCACCUGUGAUCAUUAUGGGCUUCGAAGAUCAGGAAAUGAGGCCCACUGAAGAUUAAAUUUUUGUUGCUGUCUCUUUUGAAUAGCUUCACUUUUAAGUGCAAUGUAAAUACAAUACAGGUAGUUGCUAGGAAAGACUAGUAAUACAGGCAAAGUCCUGGAUGAAAC